rnacentral:piRNA from 1 species
UAGGAUCCGAGACAAAAGUGGCGCAUU